rnacentral:ncRNA from 4 species
CAACGGAAUCCCAAAAGCAGCUC